ACUCAGGGGUUCUUUAGACUUGGCUGUGAUACCAUUCACAUACAAGAUUAAUCAGCUAAAGGAUUCAUCACAUAGGUAUAUGAAAAUUUAAAAUAAAAUAGUAGGUUUAUGUAGAAAAGAAAAAGAUAUUCACUUUAGCUGAUUCUUGCUUACAAUUUUCAUAGAUGAAUGACCAAUAAGAAUGGAAAGGAAGUAUGAGGACGAAAUAUGAGCUAUACCAGAAAGAUGAUCUCUAAGAGUGCCAUUUGACAUAAACUCAUAA
rnacentral:misc_RNA from 1 species